rnacentral:antisense_RNA from 1 species
CUUCACCGACCCCAGUAGCAGCGGCUCCGGUCGGUCCUGUCCGUACGUGGCGAGCAGCGCCUGGGCUUC